AGUAGUUUAAUUUUAAGAGUAGUGCUUUCAUACUUGUUAUUUCGAUACCGUUCAUUCAUUCCUAUUGUAUAGCUCAGAUUUUAAUUUUUUUUUUUAAGUUGUGAUCUACAGUAGCAUGUCAUUUUGAGAAAAGUACCGGUUAACAGAUAUCGCAAAGUGGAAUAUUUUUAUUUUUUAACACGUGGGUAAUUAAAUAAUUUUACCUCCGCUAUAUUAUUAAACUCUCUUUUCUUUCUUUUUUCUCUCUCUACCUUAAUUUCCUCAGAGAUCCACAUAUAUUUCAUUACAAAUAGUCUAGAUUUGUUCCAU
rnacentral:lncRNA from 1 species